CUGACCUCUGCGAGAAGUGCUGCAAGCGCAGGACGGAGCGCAAGGAGUCCGUGCUGGAGUUUGUCAAUACGGAGGCCAGCUACGGAGAGGACCUGCGCAUCAUCAAAGAGGAGUUCUACCUCCCCAUGCAGGCGGCUGGGCUACUGAGCCAGGAGCAGCUCCUUGGUGUCUUCAGCAACAUCCAGGAGCUCAUCGACCUCAAUGAGAACUUCCUGGAGAUACUCCAGGAGGAGAUUGAUCGGGCUUUUGACCAGAGUGACGAUGACCUGAUGACCGUGUGCAUCGGUGAAAUUUUUCUGGAGUUCGUCAACAUGCUGCCAGCCUUUCAGACCUACUGUCUUCAGCAGUCCUCCUCCGUGAAUAUGCUGAAUGCACUGGAGAAGGAGAAGGAGUUGCUCAGAAUAUUCCUCAACGUCUCCCAGAAUGACAACACAGCACUGCGGCGGAUGAACCUGAGGUCCUUCCUGAUGGCCCCUUUGCAAAGAGUCACCAAGUACCCACUGCUGCUCAGCAGAAUCAUCAAGGCCACCACCGAGUACCACCCAGAUCAUGGCAGCCUACGGGAGGCCAAGAGCCGCAUUGAAUCCCACCUGGAGCACAUCAACAUGAAAACCAAGCAGGAAGGGAACACAUGGACCCUGCGUUCUUUUCGCCAGGACAGCAAGAAGAAAAGAGAAGUCAUCAACAUUGAGAUGAGAGAAACCGCCCUCAAAACUGUAGGUUGGCUGCGGGAGGAGACACGAUUUGUGAUGGAAGGGCCUCUGCAGCUGGCCCAGCCCCCCGAUGGCCAGUGGGUGAAGAAAGGCAGCAAGACCCUGAAGUUCCAGAACAUGCAGGUCCUCCUCCUGGUGAACAUGAAGCGUGUGUCUGAGUCCAGCCUGGAAUCAGCCGAGCCAGGGCCUGUGAAAGAUGCCGUGCUGGUGCUCAUCAGGGACAAAAAUAAUGGGAAGUUCCAUUUGCUCAGGGAGCCCUUGAGGCUGAGUAAUUGUGUCGUCUCCACGGAUCCCGACUGUGACGACACUUUUGAACUCAUUGAGAUCAGGCGGGAGGCGUUUGUGUUCCGGGACAGCGACCGGGCACGGACUCACCACUGGUUCAGGCAGAUCAGGCGGUACUCGAGGGAGCUGGGCUCCUGGAAGAAGCGGCGGAACGCACUGCCCAACAUCAUGAUCAGCACUCCUCACACUAGGCCCUGAGUCCGGCAUGGGAGACACGCAGGAGAGACUCAGCUUGAGCAGGGCCAUGUGCAAGGCCCAUUGAGAGACUCAGUGGCUUGAACUUGCUCUGGGUUUUCCUCCAUGAAGAACACGAGAAGGAGCCUGGCCCAUGUCAACUGGUAAUUCUUUGCAGCACUGGAACCAAGUGUUACGGCCCAGUUCUGGUUCCAGCCUUCGGACUCACAGUCUCUUUGUGGCUGAUGUAGAAACACAAAUAGGCUUCCCCUGAGAAGCAAAUCUCUGGAGGAAAAUACUGAAUUUUACUUGUUAAUAUUGCACUGUGGGAGAAUGGUGUAUGAUGCUUGCCUUUGCAUGGAUUGCGUUGAAAGCCGAUCUUGACCACAUGAGAGAGGUUUCCACCACUGACUGUGUUUCAUCAGCAUUAGGUAAAGUCAGGGUCAAAAUUAGGUGCAGUAUUACCCAACAGGAGGAAGGUUGGAGAAAAUGAUAUUUCCACCACUACUCCUAAGGAUUAUAUUUCAUUAUUCAUUUCUGUACAUUCAGUCAAAAUACUUGUUUAAAAAGAAAAGUCUUUAUUCCAAACCAUGUAGGUAUCAAAUUGCUCAGAUUCAGCUGCAUGCUCACAGCAAACAAAAAAAGCAGACAAGAAUAAGUGGAGUUCUUGCUCUCUCACACAUACACUCCAAAUGUGUCUAGAACCCUGGGGAAGAGCAGUAUCCCUCCACUUAGUCUGUUAUUUAACUGACUUAGGGACUGGAACAUAACGCUGCAUCUGAAAUAUUCCAGAACUGUAUGUAAAUAUAGCUCUGCUACCACUAAUAGUGAACUUAAAAGUCUGUGAUUAUUUAAAAGAUGUAAUCUAGUGUAUUUCAAAAUUUAAUGGAAAGGAGCAAUUUACAUUGUACUGUAGAUUAACAUAAAAGGUUUUAAUAAUUAUGUUUCAAUGACUCUAGGUGGGUAUUUUUUGAUAUUUGGGUUCAUUUGUUUUCUGGAAUUGGUAUUUCAUUUGGUGCGGAUA
ensembl:lncRNA